AGAAAAGUAAAGUAUAAUAAUACAUAUAUUUUUAAGAUAAAUAUAUGUCCUUAGAAAAAUUGUAGAUUAUUAAAUUAAAGUUUAUGUUAAACUAUUGUGAAAAGGCUUAUAUUAUAUUUAUACAAAUUUUUAACCUGAAUUAUUAAUUUUAUAUAUAUAUAUAUAGUGAAAAAAAAGAAUAUUAAUAAGAAAACAAAGUUUUCCCAUUAGCUAGAAUUGAAAAUCCAUACAUAAAAGAGAAGCACAGGAGGAUCGUAUUUAUAUCCUCUCUUGACUCUUGGUUGGUUCAUUCAUAUAUUCUUACAUAUAUCUAAUAGAAAUUAAAGAAGCAAAC
rnacentral:lncRNA from 1 species